rnacentral:rRNA from 1 species
AUUGAACGCUGGCGGCAGGCCUAACACAUGCAAGUCGAACGGUAACAGGAAGCAGCUUGCUGAUUUGCUGACGAGUGGCGGACGGGUGAGUAAUGUCUGGGAAACUGCCCGAUGGAGGGGGAUAACUACUGGAAACGGUAGCUAAUACCGCAUAACGUCGCAAGACCAAAGAGGGGGACCUUAGGGCCUCUUGCCAGCGGAUGCGCCCAGAUGGGAUUAGCUAGUAGGUGGGGUAACGGCUCACCUAGGCGACGAUCCCUAGCUGGUCUGAGAGGGUGACCAGCCACACUGGAACUGAGACACGGUCCAGACUCCUACGGGAGGCAGCAGUGGGGAAUAUUGCACAAUGGGCGCAAGCCUGAUGCAGCCAUGCCGCGUGUAUGAAGAAGGCCUUCGGGUUGUAAAGUCCUUUCAGCGGGGAGGAAGGGAGUAAAGUUAAUACCUUGGCUUAUUGACGGUACCCGCAUAAGAAGCACCGGCUAACUACGUG